CUCUUGAAGUUGCUGAAAAAGACCCUCUUAUUCUGGCGAAGCUACAUUUCUACAUGGCUAUCACAAGGACCUUCAGUCCUUUUCUUACCUUCUAUCAAACGGAUGUACCAGUGAUUCCGUUCCUUGCCAAAGACUUGGCUGAGCUGAUGAAGAGGUACUCAAGGAUAUCGGUUCACUGCAGCUGGUCAGGCUGGAUGUCAGUGACAAACAGAGCUGGGUCAACCUAAAGGAAGUAAACAUGGGAUUGGGUGCAGAAUCACUCCUUAAGGUGAUGUUAUAAUCCAGCAAUUCAAUGAUUUUUUAUCUGUUGAAAAUGAGAGCUUAUUCUCAUACAAACCAACAGAAACCAGGCUAGACAUAUUCCUGCAUGGAGUUCUUGGGCAGUGCGAUGAGUUAUGGAGCUUUUGCAAGAAACUGCUUUUCCUGUCCCAUGGGCAGGCAACAGUGGAGAGAGGAUUCUCCAUUAAUAAAGAAGUGGAGACCUGCAAUAUGCAGGAGGAGACAAUGGUCAGUCAUCGACUAAUAUGUGAUUAUGUCAGCAUCUGUGGGGGGCUCCUCAAUGUCCCUAUCUCAAAGGAAUUACUGGCCUCUGCUGCAUCUGCUAGAUCAAGAUACAGAAUGCACCUUGAUCAGCAGAAAAAAAUCCAAAUCACUGAUGUCCAGGCACAGAAGCGCAAAGCUUUGGAAGACGACAUCGAGGACCUGAAAAAAAAAGAAGAGAAUUCUGGUCCAGGUAUCUUCGAGCCUGCAGAAGGAUGCUGACCAGCUUGCAGAAGAAGCUGAGGGAAAAGCUGGCACCUUGAUGGCACAGCUCAUUACAAAAUCCAACACACUGAGGAAGCGAUAUAAAGAAAAAACAAAUGAAUUACAGCAAAUUGAGACAGAGUUGGAUACAAAGGGCAAAGAACUGAGAUCUAUACAGUAAAAACCCAAUGUUCAGAUUAUUGGCAUGCAGUGUACAUGCCUCAUGUUACUGCUGUGCAGUUUGUUUGAAAUCUUUGUAGGCUGUCGAUGUUCUGCCUAAUGUUUAGUCAGUCUUUGCACUAUGUUUUGCAAUUUAUUGUUCUUUCACGCCUUCAAUAUGUCAAUAAACAAUGUGUGUUAAGGA